UAUAAGUUUGAUUCUAACUUAAUUUCUUAUACUAUAAAUAAAAAUACAUGAAAAUUCUUAAAUUCCUAUAAUUAUAAAAUUAAAAAUAAACAAAUUAAUUUAAUUAUUAAAUAAAAUCUCAGUAUAUAAUAUUAAUUAAUUAAUUAAUGUUAGAAUUAAUAUUUAUAAAUAUUCAGACCAAAUAUUGUGCCAGCAGUCGCGGUUAUACUUUAUGAAAAAAUAAGAAAAUUUUAGUAAAUAGUAAAAUAAAAUAAAAUUUAUAAAUACUUUAUUAUUAUAAAAAGUAAAAUUAUUAAAUAAAUAAUAAUUAAUUUAUUUUUAUUAUAUUUAAAAUACUAUAAAAAUUAAAACAUAAACUAGGAUUAGAUACCCUACUAUAUUUUAUAUAAAAUUAUAUUACUUGAUUAUUAAUAGAUAAAUUCUUUAAAUUCAAAGAAUUUGGCAGUAUUUUAGUCUAGUUAGAGGAACUUGUUUUAUAAUCGAUACACCCCGUAAAAUCUUACUUAUUUUAAAUAAUCUGUAUAUCGUCAUUAUAAGAUAACUUUUAUAAAAUAAGUUAUUAUAAAUAAAUAUUUUUAAAUAUAUUAGAUCAAGGUGCAGUAAAUAAAUAAGAAAAAAUGAGUUACAAUAAUACUUAUUUAUAAACGAAUCAUAAAAAUAAAUAUAUAUGUAAAGGUGAAUUUAAUUGUAAUAUUUUUUUAAAAUAAUAAUUUGAUAUAAGCUCUAAAAUAUGUACAUAUCGCCCGUCACUUUCAUAAUUAAAAUGAGAUAAGUCGUAACAUAGUAGAUAUACUGGAAAGUGUAUCUAGUCUU
rnacentral:ncRNA from 1 species